GGGUCCGUAGGUUGGUCGUGCCACCGGUACGUACUGGUCUCACUGAUUCCUCCUUCCUGAAGAACCGUAAUGCCAUUAAUUUGGUGUUGCGGGGAAACAGGACUGUUACUUUGAAAAAAUUAGAGUGUUUAAAGCAAGCUAACGCUUGAAUACAUUAGCAUGGAAUAAUGAAUUAGGACGAUCGAUCCUAUUUUGUUGGUUUCUAGGAUUGACGUA
rnacentral:rRNA from 1 species